rnacentral:rRNA from 1 species
CCCGGCGACCGGCGCGACGGGUGAGUAACACGUAUGGAACCUGCCCGCAGCAGGGGGAUAAGCGGAAGAAAUUCCGUCUAAUACCGCGUAACACCGCAGAGGGGCAUCCCUCGGCGGUUAAAGAUUCAUCGGCUGCGGAUGGCCAUGCGGCGCAUUAGCUAGUCGGCGGGGUAACGGCCCACCGAGGCGACGAUGCGUAGGGGUUCUGAGAGGAAGGUCCCCCACACUGGUACUGAGACACGGACCAGACUCCUACGGAAGGCAGCAG